UCCUAAUCAUAUGAUUUGUUGGAGAGAAUCAAACACUUCACAAUGAGCACCAUCACAAUAAUAAGAAACAGAGAAUUCGACGAAUACAUAAUCCUCAGA